UCUCUCUCUCUUUCGCUCUCCUUCCUAUCCCCACUCGAACCCGCCUGGUCCUAAUAUGGGCAAUAUGACCUGUGUAAUAAUUCCCGAACUGUAUUACAACUUCUACUUGAUGUGUUCUUUAUCGUGGUUAAUAAUUCCUUUGAUUAAUUAUGUGACACAGAUUUGUGUUGGCGGGCAGCGAUGAAGGGAUGAGGGCUGAGUGUUAAGCAAUUGGUGGCUUGGAAGAAGGAAAUUUCAUAUAGAAAUGAUGGAUCUUAUUGUUGGAUGGUUGUCAAGAUUCCAGGAACUGUGUUACUACUUCUAUUCUCUGUGCUCUUAUCUGAGGUUCAUAAUUUCCCAGUUAAUUUCUUCAGCGAAUUAGAUAAUAUAGAU
rnacentral:misc_RNA from 1 species